rnacentral:lncRNA from 1 species
AAAUGAAGUUAAAUCUCUGGAUUGAAGAUAAACUGAAGAAUAAUGAACCACAUUCCAUGCAAGAGAUUUGUGACUAUGCAAGAGGAAUUUUCAGAGACAUGUCUUUAGACACUGAAAUGAAUCCAGAAAAAAAUUUGUUGGGAGUAAGGGAUGGUUUGAGGAAUUUAGGGUGUACCAUAAUGUGGAGACCAGGUCUUAUUUGACAGUUAUGCCAAAGAACAAACAGUUCCUGCAGCUCUCAUGUUGUAUUCACCACAAAUUCAGGAAGUGGCUGAAGAAGGGGAUUACAUGCCUGCACAAAUCUUUAGUGCUAUCGAGAGUGUCAAGCUUUGAAACCCUUUGAAUACUUCUGAAGAGCAAGCGCCCACUGAUGCUGAGGUCAACAAAAUCAGAGAAGCUGACAUUUCCAUUUUUUGCCAAUACUUCAGGUGACCUCAUAAUGAAACCCUUGCUGCUCUACAGAAAAUUGUGCCCAAACCCUCUCAGGGGAAAUAAAUGAGCCAAGUUUCCAGUGUACUAGCAAGCAAACAGAAAAGCCCAGAUGAAUCUUCCUCUCCUUAAGGGAUGGUUUGAACAGUACUUUCUUGUGGAUGUUCAAGACUACUUAAAAGAAAAAAAAAUACCUUGAAUUCAAAGUCCUGCUGAUUCUUCAGUCUAUUUGGUGCUUCAGGUACAUUUGCCAAUAUGCAUCCUCAUGGUAAGGUUGUCUUUAUAACUAGCCACAUGUCUGAGAUUCUUGAGCCUUUCAGUCAGUGUUUGAUCUGGCCAUUCAGGAAGGCUUAUUAUAAACUAAUGUAUAACUUUGUUCACAAUCUCGCAAAGUUUCCACUGUCUGAAAAUCCUAGUGCAUGAGACUCCUACAUCGUUAUUAAUGGCAUAUCCUUAAUAAAAGUUUGGCUUUUGAUUUUUAAUGGGUUUUCAGGAGAUAACUUCCCAAAGAGGCAUUAGAUAGUUUAACAGAGCCUGUCAUUAAUGUGACCUGUGAGAAGACUUGGCUAGAGGUGGUGAAAUAUCUUUCCUCUAUCCCUCCCAAAGACAAGAAAAACCUAUGGAUGAGGAUGAAAAUUUGGCACAAGAGCAAUCAUUGGCGGAAGUUGAAUCUGAAACUGUUGACACCAAUUCAAGUUAAUGCUGCUAGAGGCUGAUCCUCAGGAAGCUUUCUUGUCUCCAGAGGUUAUUAUCAUAAGUGAUGAUGAAGACAAUUAGGAGGCUGUGGGACUGGAAACAAAUACAGCAAUAAGAAACAGGAGCAAAAUUUUUAGAACAAGAUUAAAACCUCCCUAAGAAGGUAAUUAAAAUUGGCAUCUUUACAUGUGUCAGAUAUUACCUGUUCAAAAUUUGAGUGACUUAGAGUUCUAUAAAGAGGUGCUAUGAUGCCAUCAAACAUAAUCAUAUUGGACAGAAACAAUCUUCAAUAGAACUUAAAUCAUGUGCCAUUUAAUACUGUUGCUGGACAGCUGAUAAAACUACCUUCUGACAAAGUUUGAUUUAAUUAGACUCUAAUAAAAGGUCCUAUGAGACUUUCUAAAAGACUAUAUUGGGAAGAAAGAAACCUCAGAAAAGUCUAAAUUAUCAAGUAGUACCAUUUAAAUACUCUUACUGGACAGCUAAUAAGCUACCUUCAGACAAAGAUUGAAUGAUUAAAUUGAACUCCAUACAGAACUGCUAAGGUGUCUUCAAAAAGGACUUGAGAAGAUGAAAGCAUCUUUAGAAGGGCCACUUAAAUUCACUUGCUUGAUAGAAAUAAAGCCUCAAGCAAGUUGUUAUAACUUCAGGAUUCGACUUCACUGACUCUAAGAGUAUAGACAUCCAUAAUUUGAACUAAUGAAUAGUCCACUUCUGUUCAUUGCUUCUCUGUCACCCCCAUUUGCCACUACCAUAAUGAGUGAUAGAUACAUCUUCAUCACCUCUGGAAAUCAUCUCAGGAUCUAAAUGGAAACUGUAUAAAGCCUAUCAUUUUUACUGAUUUAAACUAUGUAAACUCAUUAUUCUUUUUAUGUAAUGUGCUGUUGUUAUUGUUUACCUGCAUAAAAAUAUUUAUGAGGGUUUUCAACAGUUUACUUGAGACCUCAUUUUUGCCCAUUUUUUUCCUUCCCGAUAUCAUGAUCUCCUCAGCUGAACUUUCUUACCUUGGGGGUUGUUCAGGAACUGACUCUCAUGGGGAAAGAGGGAUUACUAUUUCUGUGUUCCUAUCUCUUGGUAACUGCUUAACCACAGUCAGUCUUGAACUAAUGGAAGGAGCACUGGACUUGGGUUCUUGAGACCUGGGUUCAUGUUCAGUUCUGCCACUGAUUAUUGUGACAUUGGGCCAGUCACUUGAUUUCUCUGAGCCUCAGUUUCAUCACCUGUUAAGUGAGGAUAGUAAUACCUGGCACAAAUAUCACAAUAUUAGUGAUAAUUGAAUAUAAUUAUAAGUACCCAAUGGCUAUUAAAAGUAAAACUAGGAAGUGCUGAAUAACCAUAAUAUCAUUAUAUUUGUAGCAUUUUGGACCUUAUCAAUGAACAACUGAGAAAACUAGGUUUUUGAAUUCUUUUACUUUUUAAAGUAACUUCCUCCCAUUUUUAUGUCAAUUAUAGAAAAUUUUAAAAAGAAAAUUAAAUGUGCCUAUAAUUUUAUAAGCCGGAGGUAACUAAGUUGGUAUUUUUCUUCUUAGUACCUCUUUGUCUCAUCAUAAAUUGUUCAUCAAUGUCAAAAACUUGGAAAAUAAAGAUAAGCAUAUAGAAAAAAAUAAAAACCACCCAUAAUCACAAAUCCCAGAAGCAAUGUUAAUAUUUUGGUGGAUUUAUUUCCAGUCUUUUUCUAUGGCUAUAUGUGCACAUAUAUAAUUUUUACAUAGAAAAAGUCAUAAUGCAUACAGCUUUGUUGCUUUUAGCAUUUUUAUCAUGAAUAUUUUCCUACAUUUAUGCAAAGUAUUUGUAAAUAUCAUUUUCAAUGGUGUAUAAUAUUUCAUCAUAGGAUGACAUCAUGGUUUAGUUAACCAUUUUCUUUUGUUGGAUAUUUGAGGGUCUUUCCAAAUUUGGCCAUUGUAAUUUCACAAUGUCUUUUUCAUUACCUAACUGAAAAUAUUUGCUUUGGUGAAAGCAGAGGAUUUUUUGUUGUUUGUUUGUUUGUUUUUGAAGAAGUCCUUUUAAUAGCUACAUUUCAUUGACUAAGUGGAACUUCAAGAGACAGGUAGAAGAAAAAAAAAAAGAAACAGUAGAUGUAAUUUCAAGAUUGAGGAUUUAUUUUGUUAGUGACUGUUCCAGAAGCUGAAUUUUGGUGUUAGAGCAAUUCAGGAGGGACAGUUUGCCACCAUUUUAUGAUACUUUACUGUAGAAAAGUUUUCAGGAUUUAGACCAGGAAAGAGACAUCCUAACCAUAUGGGUUGAUUUUAUUUUAUGGACCCUGUGAAGUCUGGGACUGAUCAGGUUUCUCUUUUGUUGGCUACUAGAAAGCUUGGAGUCAAAUGUGUGGUCAAUGCAUAGCACUUGUAAUGGGACUCUACGGUAUGUAUGCACUUUGUAUUAGCUUUCUGCCAGGCUCCAUUUCGUGUUCCUAUCUUUAUUGUUUUUGUUUUUUCCUUUUACUUUCUUAUCUACUUUGAAUUUAUGCUAUCAUGUUGUAUUUUGUGUAUUCUUGUAAGCCACCUGACAUCCAUCUUGGAACAUGGUGGGGAAUAAACACACUAAUAAAUAAAUACAUUAAUAAAUACAUGAAUAAAUAAACCAAUAAGGAAAAAACAAUGAGGCAAAUGAAUGCAGCCAGGACUCUGAAAAUUGCAUAGUGCCUCCAAGAAUAAUCAAUGUUAAGGACUUGAAGCUUGGAAGAACAUAUUGGAAAGAAGCAGGUGAGGCUGCGAGGCUGCAUUUAGAGGUGACGUGUUCUGUGUGACGUCUGUGUCUACUGAAGCAUGCUUAUAUGUCUUGUGUCUUCUGCUGCACUUGAGCAUUAGGUGUGUUUCAGAGGAUAUGCAGUGCUGUGUAAUGGACUGUGUCUUUAGAGGGCACAGUUCAUGUGCAUUUUAUUUGUGGGGAAUCUAGAGAGAUUUGGGAGUUGGUGAGCCUGGGAAUGAUGUGAUGAUCCUUUUUCAUGGAGGCAUAGGAAGGAAUCAUUGUAUAUAAAUCAAAUCAAGACAAAUAGGAAGUUUCCUACCAUUUACUAACUAGUUACUGGGUGCCAAGCUAUGUGCCAGGCACUUUACAUGUAUUGAUUUAACACUUAACAGCCACUCUAUAUUAUUCCCUUUUUACAGAUGAGGCAAUUUAAGCUCAAAGCAUUUAAGUAGACAACCAACCUAGAAUCACAUAGCAAAUGACAGAAGCCAGAGGCCUCCCAAGUCUCUCUAACUCCAAACCCUAUGCUUACUCUACUAUAUCACACUACCUUGCAAUAGGACAAAGGGAAUAUGUGGUAAACUAUGUUCCCAGCAUCUAAAAGCCAGGAGUGGUUUUCAUUUUUCUUUAAGAAGAUGAUAGUGUGAUUUGAAACAUAUCUGAAUUUCAGAAGAGGGGACUUUUAAAAAUUGCCACUCAUAAGGAAAGAAAGAACUUUUUCACAUAUUUUUGAAAGAAACGAUGGUGAGAAGAUAUUCUUGAUAAUAGAGAUAUGCUAACAUUUGCUUUGGGUGUUUUGUAGGUUAGAUUUUUUUGGUGUGUACUUUAUAGGCUUGCAUAUUGCUUACUUUAAACAGCUGAAGUUCUAAGUAAGAGUGUUCAUAUAUGUGAAAGAGUUCUUAAAGUACUAUAUAGUUUUGUUAUUGUAUUGAAUAUAUAUUGUUCUAAUUCCUAGAGUAUGUCAUCUUCUAUAUACUCUAUACAGCAGGAAUCCUUGCUGUACAACAAUUAUAUUAAAGAAAACUCUCAGUUAUCCUUUAUGGUCUUGUCAAUCAAAUGUUUUGGUCAAUGCAUAUUACUAACUUUCAUCUAAUUAAUGCACAAUAAAAUAUACUUAGUGUGAUAA